AUGAACGCUGGAGGAGUGCCUAAUACAUGCAAGUCGAGCGAACAGACGAGGAGCUUGCUCCUCUGACGUUAGCGGCGGACGGGUGAGUAACACGUGGAUAACCUACCUAUAAGACUGGGAUAACUUCGGGAAACCGGAGCUAAUACCGGAUAAUAUAUUGAACCGCAUGGUUCAAUAGUGAAAGACGGUUUUGCUGUCACUUAUAGAUGGAUCCGCGCCGCAUUAGCUAGUUGGUAAGGUAACGGCUUACCAAGGCAACGAUGCGUAGCCGACCUGAGAGGGUGAUCGGCCACACUGGAACUGAGACACGGUCCAGACUCCUACGGGAGGCAGCAGUAGGGAAUCUUCCGCAAUGGGCGAAAGCCUGACGGAGCAACGCCGCGUGAGUGAUGAAGGUCUUCGGAUCGUAAAACUCUGUUAUUAGGGAAGAACAAAUGUGUAAGUAACUAUGCACGUCUUGACGGUACCUAAUCAGAAAGCCACGGCUAACUACGUG
rnacentral:rRNA from 1 species